AACGAAUUCUUGUUAGGCUUUUUGGGGAGGAGAAACCCAAACCUGAUCCCGCAAGUGGAGUAGCUGGCGGCCCGAGUCGCCCCAGAUCUCCGCCUCUUCUCCCAUCUCAACAACCCCUCUUGAGACCUCCGCACGUCGGUGGUGGUGGUUGGGGCCGGCCAUGGCGGCGUCUUCGGCCCUCUCGUCCUUUCGCUACGCCGAUAGCCUCGUGGUGGUCGGCAUCUCCGUCUGCACGGCCUUCCUCUGCGAGGCCAUCUCUUGGCUCCUGAUCUACCGCACAUCUACAUACAAAUCCCUUCGCUCCUCCAUCGACAAGGCCUCCAAGAAGCUCGACACCAUGAAGUCCACCUCCGCCUCAUCCUCCUCCAAGAAACCCUCGUCCUCCUCGUCCUUGUCGUCGUCGUCGUCGUCGUCUUCGUCCCGGGCCAAGAAGAUGGACCGCGUGGAGACCAGCCUCAAGGACGCUACCCGCGAACUCUCCCUCUCCAAGUUCAAGUCCGGCGCCGUCGUCGCUGCCGUCCUCUUCGUCGUCUUCGGCCUCCUCAAUUCCCUAUUCGAGGGCCGCGUGGUGGCUAAGCUACCCUUCGCUCCCAUCCCGCUGGUCCUCAAGAUGAGCCACCGCGGUCUGCCCGGGACCGAUCCCACCGACUGCUCCAUGGUGUUCCUGUACUUCCUCUGCUCUAUAAGCAUCCGGACCAAUCUGCAGAAGUUCUUGGGUUUUGCGCCCCCAAGAGGCGCGGCCGGUGCCGGACUCUUCCCGAUGCCCGAUCCCAAAGCUAGCUGAUUGUCUGAUCCGAAGAUUGAGGUGCGGACCGUGCCCCCGAGGCAUCAAAUUUGUCUAUCGUCGAAUUCUUGAGAAGGCGCAUCAUAGUGAGGUUAUGGAGGAUGGUUCUUUCUAGGUAACUCAGGAAUAAUAUUUUGGAAGUUAAAAAGGACCUCAGACAAUUUUAGUGCUUUGCUGACAAGUUAAAGGAGCUUCCACUGGUAAAAGGAUUGUGCUGUAUGGUCAUUAUUAUUUUGGUGAAACUUGAUGAAUUUGGUAAUAACCUAUUAUGGUGA